rnacentral:tmRNA from 1 species
GGGGGCGACUGGUUUCGACGUGCUUGUCGAAGUCCGGGUUGCGCGCCGAGGUCCCCGGUUGGCCUCGUUAAACCGCCGGGAAAAACACAAAAGCCAACGACGAAUUGGCCCUCGCGGCGUAAUCAGUUCCGCGACGUCCGCCCCGCUUCCGUCUGCGGGCGGGAACGGGCGUGAUCAGCAGGCUGGCGACCUUGGCCGGGCUUCCGGGCCGAGGAGCGAGAACGAACAGGAAGCUGGCGGUGCGCCGGGUCCGUCCGGGGACAUGGCGCAUGGCGAGACCCAAACCCGGAAUACGCGCGUAGAGGUCCGGGUGACGCCUGUGCGGACGGGAGUUCGAUUCUCCCCGCCUCCACCA